rnacentral:rRNA from 1 species
GAUGGACGCUGGCGGCGUGCCUAAUACAUGCAAGUCGAGCGAACGGACGAGAAGCUUGCUUCUCUGAUGUUAGCGGCGGACGGGUGAGUAACACGUGGAUAACCUACCUAUAAGACUGGGAUAACUUCGGGAAACCGGAGCUAAUACCGGAUAAUAUUUUGAACCGCAUGGUUCAAAAGUGAAAGACGGUCUUGCUGUCACUUAUAGAUGGAUCCGCGCUGCAUUAGCUAGUUGGUAAGGUAACGGCUUACCAAGGCAACGAUGCAUAGCCGACCUGAGAGGGUGAUCGGCCACACUGGAACUGAGACACGGUCCAGACUCCUACGGGAGGCAGCAGUAGGGAAUCUUCGGCAAUGGGCGAAAGCCUGACGGAGCAUAGCCGCGUGAGUGAUGAAGGUCUUCGGAUCGUAAAACUCUGUUAUUAGGGAAGAACAUAUGUGUAAGUAACUGUGCACAUCUUGACGGUACCUAAUCAGAAAGCCACGGCUAACUACGUG